rnacentral:tRNA from 1 species
GAAUAUAUAGCUCAAAUGGUAGAGCACUUGACUUUUAAUCAAGUUGUUGAGGGUUCAAAUCCCUCUAUCUUCA